GCGAGCGAACUGCGGUGAAAGUCGCACGGUUCGUUCCUGGAAGGGGGGAAAGAGUAAUCUUUCCUUCCUAUUCAAC
rfam:Methanosarcina sp. Ant1 MSANT_contig000111, whole genome shotgun sequence.